UACGGAGGAUGCGAGCGUUAUCCGGAUUUAUUGGGUUUAAAGGGUGCGUAGGCGGCUUUUUAAGUCAGCGGUGAAAUUUUGCAGCUUAACUGUAACAGUGCCGUUGAUACUGGGGGGCUAGGAUUUGGUUGCUGUGGGUGGAAUGUGUGGUGUAGCGGUGAAAUGCUUAGAGAUCACACAGAAUAUCGAUUGCGAAGGCAGCUCACAAAGCCAAGAUUGACGCUGAGGCACGAAAGUGUGGGGAUCAAACAGGAUUAGA
rnacentral:rRNA from 1 species